GAACGUUGUCUCACCCACGCCUCACCAAGACUAAACAGCGUGGUAAAAUAAUAGUCUUUCAUACCUACAUCGGAGGGUGAUGUAGGAAUAUCUUACUCG
rnacentral:ncRNA from 1 species